rnacentral:rRNA from 1 species
CCAAUAGCGUAUAUUAAAGUUGUUGCAGUUAAAAAGCUCGUAGUUGAAUUUCGGGGUUUAUACGUUGGUCGGGCUUUUGGGUCUGUACUGGCGUUAUGAAUUCCUACCUUCUGAAUAACCAGCAUGUUAUUAAUUUGGUGCGCUGGGGAAGCAGAACUGUUACCUUGAAAAAAUUAGAGUGCUUAAAGCAGGCUAUUGCCUGAAUACAUUAGCAUGGAAUAAUGAAAUAGGAUGGCAUGGUUCUAUUUUGUUGGUUUCUAGGAUCACCGUAAUGAUUAAUAGGGAUAGUUGUGGGCAUUAGUAUUCAAUUGUCAGAGGUGAAAUUCUUGGAUUUAUUUAAGACUAACUUCUGCGAAAGCAUUUGCCAAGGAUGUUUUCAUUAAUCAAGAACGAAAGUUAGGGGAUCGAAGACGAUCAGAUACCGUCGUAGUCUUAACCAUAAACUAUGCCGACUAGGGAUCGGACGAUGUUAAUUUUUUAAUGACUCGUUCGGCGCCUUACG